rnacentral:lncRNA from 1 species
GCACUUUUCUCAUUGCGAUUUUUCUACAAGUCUUCUAGAAUUCACUUUUAAAUAAAUGUCACUACGCAAGCUUGAAACCUGAGGAUGCCAGUCAACACUAAUUAAUCCUGGAUGCCAUUGGUCAACACUACUGGUUUCAGGAUGUGGAUGUAGAGUGAAAGAGCUGAUUGUAUCCAUUCAUAGUUAACAUGUCUGCGUAAAUACACAGGUC